CCUACGGGUGGCAGCAGUGGGGAAUUUUGGACAAUGGGCGCAAGCCUGAUCCAGCAAUGCCGCGUGUGUGAAGAAGGCCUUCGGGUUGUAAAGCACUUUUGUCCGGAAAGAAAACCUCGUGGCUAAUAUCCGUGAGGGAUGACGGUACCGGAAGAAUAAGCACCGGCUAACUACGUGCCAGCAGCCGCGGUAAUACGUAGGGUGCGAGCGUUAAUCGGAAUUACUGGGCGUAAAGCGUGCGCAGGCGGUGAUGUAAGACCGAUGUGAAAUCCCCGGGCUUAACCUGGGAACUGCAUUGGUGACUGCAUCGCUCGAGUAUGGCAGAGGGGGGUAGAAUUCCACGUGUAGCAGUGAAAUGCGUAGAGAUGUGGAGGAAUACCGAUGGCGAAGGCAGCCCCCUGGGUCAAUACUGACGCUCAUGCACGAAAGCGUGGGGAGCA
rnacentral:rRNA from 1 species